UUGCCAUGUAUACAUUUCCAAAGGGUUUGGUGUUGGUGAACCAUCUAAAUAUACCUGCUGCAGGAUGUAUAUGGAAUUUUCCAGCAUUAUCCCUCUAUCCUCACUGUAUCCUUACUGAGGGCAUAAGUAUAUUCAUGGGCAGAAGAAUAAGAAAGCUAAGUUUUGUUAUGGCCAAAAUGGAAUCUACAAUGGAAGAACACAAGGACAAUCAGCUUGAGUCAGAGAAAGUGGAAAUCUUAAGAUUAGUCCAGUCAAAGAGGAACAUUAACAGUUUGAACAUGGACCUUGAAAAGGAUAUGCAGAGAAUAGAUGAAGCAAAUCAGGAACUUCUUCUCAAAAUCCAAGAGAAAGAAAAUGAGAUUCAGAGGCUGGAAGGUGAGAUUGCUCAGACCAGAGACUUGGCUGAAGAUGAGGAAUGGGAAAAGGAAAACUACACCAUGAUGGAGAGGGAAAAAGCCUUGCAGGAGCUGAAAGAAGAGACAGCCAGACUCGAUAGGAAGAAUGAGACUCUGGUCCACAGUAUAGAAGAACUUCAAAGAAAGCUUACAAGGAAAUCACGUAAGGCAAUCAAGUGUGAACAAGACAAUCUAAAGGGAACCCCAGAAGAGUCAACGGCGAAGUUAGAACAGCUGGAAGCUUCCUGUGCAGACCAAGAGAAAGAGCUGACCAAGGUAACAGAAGACUAUGCAUUUGUGGCCCAGCUCUGUGAAGAUCAGGCCCUCUGCAUAAAGAAGUACCAGGAAACUUUGAGGAAAAUAGAAGAAGAACUAGAGACUCGAUUCCUUGAGAGAGAAGUAUCAAAAGUCUUGAGCAUGAAUUCUGCAAGAAAAGAGUAUAACAGCCAAAACAGUAAGGAUGAUUCUCUCCUAAACAAGGGAACAUGGUUCUGUAAAAGGUUUUUUCAAUAUGUCUUUUUCACCACCCUAUUUCUCAUCAGACUGCUGGGCUACUUGCUUUUCCACCUAAGUUUUAUAAAUCCAGAUCUCCUUAUCAACACACUGCCCAAGAUAUUGAGCAGGGACAUCCUAUGGAAGCUAAGAUGCUUCCUCUUUCCAUCUCUCACACUUGAGACAGAGGACAUGUUACCCCACUGAUUCGCAAGAAAUACCCUUGAGCAAAAGAAAGCAAGUGGUGUCUGAGUCUGUAGAGCAACAGACGCAGAAUCUGCAUAGAGAAAAGGUUUUCUUCAGUUUUUCCCUUCAGGCAACAUCUCUACACAUCUACAUUUCAAAAAUAAUUAUUCCUCAAAAUGAUGAGGUCAUAUUGUUCAAGAUUUGAGAACAAAAGGAAAAGAGAAAUGAGAAAAGGAAGAGAAAGAAGCUAAAUGCCUAGUACUGUGUAGUGUCGGAGAUAUAAAGAUAAAAAAGACAGAGCAUCUGUCUUUGGGCAGGUGAAAAGAAGAGACAGAUUAUGUGCAGACAUGAUGAGUCCCACAAUAGAAAAACAGAGGAGGGAGUAAUUCCUCGUGCCUAUGUCCAAUAGGAGGUGACAUCAGAUCCAAGGAAUCUGCCAGCCUGGGAGGAAGAAUAAGAGGCCUAGCAUUAAGCCAACCAUGUGUCAGCAAAAGCAUUCUCAGUUGAAAAACUAAAAGCAUCUUCUACCCUAGAUGGAUAUUUUAAAUAGAAGUAACCAGAUUGAAAUACCAUAAAAUUAAGCAACUCUCUUUCUUGACAAAUUACCUAAAAUGAGUAAAUUCUUAAUCCCCUGCUUCAGAAGAAAACCAAACCCUUUUCUCCUGGCAUCAGAGUAAAAAUACAAAACACCUGUACACUGACAGUUACCCAUAACCCAGAGUUAAUUACCCAGCACCCUACAUGGAAAUACCUUCCACCUUGUCAGUAAAGAUCUGCACUGCAUGCAGCAUUUAUUCCUACACUGAAUGGCACUGGAAUCUUAGGAUCCAGUGGAAUCUGGCAGUUUUCUUCCUACUGGGUGGCCGAUGCCACACUGAAUCGGAUUUCAUUCUUGGCAGAAGAGAAAGAUCAGGUUGGGCCAGCUCCCAUUUACCAGCGUCCCACCACAUGAUAAAGCAAGAAAUCCACACCUUCUAAAUGCAUGAAUUUGAAACUCAAUCAUGAAAAAAAGAGUACUUUCACA